GGCCGGGACAGAGGCAGCUGUCCGGUCUCCAGGCUUCUCUGAGCUUGGGUCAGCUCCUAGUGAAACAUUGCACUCCAGGGAACCAGAGGCCCUCUGUGAAGACGGGCACAAAAAACAGGGUGUCUCCCGCACAGCUCCCAGGAGUCAGGUGGGACCCAGGCGUGGGAGGAUCUUUCUGUCCCACAUUCCUGGCAUCCCCCCAAGUUUGUUUCUACUUUCCAGGAACCACAGAAACGGAAGUAACCUGCAGCAGGGUUUCGAGGCCAGCCAGGCGCUCUGUGAGUGAGGGCUCCCAUAGCCGCUGAGGGCAGCCGACAGCCAGGCAGCCUCACCCGCUGCCCAGAAUGGGACUGCCCUUUCCCAGUCCUUCCCCUUGCCACAGCCUCACCAUCGCGCCAACCUCCCUCCUCCCGCUCUGGCUCUCCACUGGCCUCUCAGGCAGCAGAAUCAGCCUUUGCUCCCCAGCCUUGCUGCCCCUGCCCCACACAGGUCAUCCUGGCCAGGCGGUGACCAGUUUCCCAAAUGCUCACUCCCCAGGGGACAGUGUGGCCCACUCCUCCACCUCCAUGGUGGCCCAGGUGGCAGGGCCCAUGGUGGAGGCCUCAGGCAGCUUUCUGUCUGGCUACCCAUUGGCUUGGGACAGAUACACAGAUAAAGUGGAGCGGAAACAUGGGCCAAGACAUCCCCAGACAAGGAGGGCACAAGAGGCCACAUUUGAAAGCCCUGGGAGAGAAGCCCUUUUCCCCGCCUCUGGCUAGCGUGCUUUUCUGUCUGAAUGGCCUCCCUUUCAUGCACGCUCAACAGACGCACGGGCCGCAGCCAGCCUCUCGGUGAAGGCUGUCCCCUGGGCUUGUCCACAGCAGGAGGCCCCUGGCCUGUCCAAGCCAUAGCAAUGCUCAAUUUACAUUUUUGGAGUUGAAUCUUAUUCCAGCGCCUCCACCACCCCCAGCAGUAAAAUAAGACACUGAAAUAAGCUGAGUCAUUUAGCGAGCACCUCCUGUGUGCCAGGCUCCUAGAAAGACAGGGAGCCAGUGCCCUGCACAGACGACAAACUGCCCCGGACAGCAGACACGCUGCCCUAGACAGCCUGCUCACCUCGCCUGCACAAGGUGUGCCCCGCAGGGAGAAGCCCUCCUUCUCACCCAGGGAGUCCAGCCAUUGUCACCUUCCCUGGUCCAUACUCAGGAAAUCUGGUCGCCCUGGCAAACUGCACCUGACAUUGAGGUCCCUUUUCUUCACCAAAGAUGCACAGGUGUCUGUGCCGAGCUGACAUCAUUCAGGCCAAGCGCAGAGGAUGUGAUGAGGGAUGGAGGGAGGACGCGGAGAGGGAGCAGGGAGCUCCCAUUCUCCCGUGGAUCCCUGGCCCUUCCAGGAGUAAGUCCUGGGCAGGCAGAGCUGGAGUUGGCCUGAUCCCACCUGCCUUGCUCUUAGAAAGGACAUCAGGUGUGGGCAAAGCAUCCUUGGAGCCCAGACAGCACAGCCAUGGCCCACGUGCCCUCCCAGCCCCUGCUGCACCACACCACUCAGCCCUGGGUGAGCCCCUUGGAAUUGUCUGCAUGCCCCAAGCCCCAACGGGAAGAAGGGAAAGGAGGGGAAGCUGACGCUCACUCAGUGCCCACUGUGUGCCAGGCUCUGGGCUCAACCCUCUGAUAUCCACACAUCUCAUUCUCCCAACCUGUGUGGACAGUGGGGUUAAGCUCAUUCUUUAGAUGUGGAAAUGGAGCUCCGGGAGACGGCAGGACAUGCCCAAGGCAAAGAGUUCGUAGUUCCUGGAUUUGGGAAUCAAGUGCAUGUCCAUCUACUCCCAGGGCAGGAAACGUCUCUAAAACGUUGAUCAGUCUGAAGCUUACACACUGGAAACCGGGCCAGGUAGCCAGGGUGGUGGACUCCAGAGACAGAGAGAAGGCUGCAGACGGGAGAGAACAGCCAGGGUGCCAGGGUGACUUCAGUGACAUCCCCUCCUUCCUUAGGCACGAAAAAUCGUUCGGAUAAUGGACAGCUUCUGCCCUCCCUACCAGGCAGACAGGACACUCACGGUGCCAGCAUGAGCAGACACAGCCAGAGGCUCAAGUGCCCUUGCCGAGUGUCCCGCUGCUCUUGGGGAGGCCCCAGCACAGCCCGCAGAGAUGCAAGUGAGGGAGUGCCCGGUGCCCUCGGCAGACAGGUGGCAGAAAGCAGAGGGAGGAAGGGGGAGCUGACCGAUGCUGCGUGUCUUGUUCCGCUGAGGUCAGAGCCUCCAACAGGCCGAGCAGACCCAGGCCACGUUGCUCGGGGAACAGGACACCAGGGCGCUGGACUGGAGGCCCACAGCCUUCACUUCUGGCUCCUGCGGGGGUGCUAUACUGUCCAGGCCCUUGGCAGUGACUCUGCCUGCAAGAAUGACAAAUGCCAACAUAACCACAUCUUCCUUUUAGUUGCCACAACUAUUCAGUUUUGUUUUAUCCAUCAUGUCCCCCAUAUGCAUGUAAUGAAACAUUUGUGAAAAUCACUUUAAUAAUAAACAGGAAAUGAACCUAAA